UACGUAGGGGGCUAGCGUUGUCCGGAUUUAUUGGGCGUAAAGAGCGUGUAGGCGGCCAGAUAGGUCUGCUGUGAAAACUCGAGGCUCAACCUCGAGAUGUCGGCGGAAACCAUUUGGCUAGAGUCCGGAAGAGGAGAGUGGAAUUCCUGGUGUAGCGGUGAAAUGCGCAGAUAUCAGGAAGAACACCCGUGGCGAAAGCGGCUCUCUGGAACGGUACUGACGCUGAGACGCGAAAGCGUGGGGAGCGAACAGG
rnacentral:rRNA from 1 species